UACAGAGGGUGCAAGCGUUGUUCGGAAUUAUUGGGCGUAAAGGGCGCGUAGGCGGUGCUGUAAGUCUGUAGUGAAAUCUCUGGGCUCAACUCAGAGUCUGCUAUAGAAACUGCAGUGCUGGAGUGUGGGAGAGGUGAGUGGAAUUCCCGGUGUAGCGGUGAAAUGCGUAGGAUAUCGGGGAGGAACACCUGUGGCGAAAGCGGCUCACUGGACCACAACUGACGCUGAGGCGCGAAAGCUACG
rnacentral:rRNA from 1 species